GAUAACUAGAUCUUUGGAUGAAAAUUUUCCUGUCAAAAGCCAUUGAUAAGACUCCAUUGAAUUUGGUAAAGGAAAAUCACGGAUGAUCUUGGCAAUAGCAGUUAUUGUGGACAAAUGAUGGCAGAAGCUGGUUAUAAAUGGGCUGAGUUGUGAAAGGGAAGUCAAUGAUGCUUUCUUCUGGAUAGAUUCCCAUAACUGGGAUGAGACACUUCCAAUUCCAUUUAAAAAUUUUUGUCCUUAGCUCUUCUUUGAUCCGCAAGUUGAGCCCCAUUUCUCCUGCCUGAAUGUGCUGUACUCAUUGAUAUGCUACCCAUGAAAAAGUAUUUCCAGCUUCCGGUCAGGCUUUACAACUGCUUGUUAAAAGCCCGUGACCUCUGGAUAAGAGUGAAAUACCAAGCACUAAGGGAGGCUAGAGCCAUUCUUCAAUCAGGAACAAAUGCAUUCUAAACAAGGAUUAUGAGAAAAAGCAAUAAAGGAAGACAUCAAUUCUCAAGCGAAUAAUUUCUUCUAUAGAGCCUGCUAAACAACACCAACGGCAAGUGAUGAGGAGUAAAUUUACUUCUUUCUUCUCAAAACAACAAAAAUAUCUUCAUUAGAAACAAGGCUC